rnacentral:lncRNA from 1 species
GGUAGAGUGCUUGAAAAGGAGUAACAUAAGAUCAAUUACUAGGAGCUAGUAAGUUGUAAAGGGCUUUAAUAACAGGAGUUUGUGUUUGAUUUGUGAAACAAUAAAGAACUUAGCAGAAUCAGAGCUGCACUUCAGGAAUAUUGACUUAGUAGCAAUGAGGAACAUAUAUAGAAGAGGAAGAGAGACUAAUAAGGAAGCUGUUGCAAUAGUCUAGAAGAGAGAUGGCAAGGGCUUCCCAGAGAAGAGGAAGCUGCACAUCCAUGGAAUCUGCCCAAUACACUCAGUGGGAGACCUCUGAGGAAUUUGAGAUGGUUGAUGCCAAGCGCAAAUGGCGACCCUGGGAAGCUGGGUGGUGGGCAAAGCAGCUUCCUGGGGGCCAUCCUGCCCUUCCCCUUUACCUGCUGUUUUCUGUGACCUCUUUUCUGUGGAUAAUUCUUCUUAGUAUGCUGUUGGCCAAGGUCAUGGACUUAUCAAAGGAAGUGAAGCACCUGGAGGGAAUACAAGUCAAUGGGUCAAUGAAUUCAGGCAGGCUGGAAGUUCUUCAGGUAUCCUUGAGCACCUUGGACAACAAGUACCAGACUCUAAAAACAAAGGCUGAAACAAUGGCUAAGGAAUUGAGGAACCUGCAAGAGAGUCAAGCCAGCCUGAGUACCAACUUGUCCCAGGAACUAGCUGAGGCAAGAGAAGACCGAAAGAACAUUCGGAGUGAGAUGUUUCAUGGACUGGAGGCUGUGAGGAAUGGAAAUGAGAGCCAUCCCACAAAACAAAUAAUAUUUUUUAGAAAAGAAAAGAAAAAUAAGAAGAGAAAAAAAUCUGCAAAGCUGAUUAAUACAUGA